UACAGAGGGUGCGAGCGUUAAUCGGAAUUACUGGGCGUAAAGCGUGCGCAGGCGGUUUUGUAAGUCUGUCGUGAAAUCCUCGGGCUCAACCUGAGAAUUGCGAUGGAGACUGCAAGGCUAGAAUCUGGCAGAGGGGGGUAGAAUUCCACGUGUAGCAGUGAAAUGCGUAGAGAUGUGGAGGAACACCGAUGGCGAAGGCAGCCCCCUGGGUCAAGAUUGACGCUCAUGCACGAAAAGCGUGGGGGAGCAAACAGG
rnacentral:rRNA from 1 species